rnacentral:rRNA from 1 species
AUUGAACGCUGGCGGCAUGCUUUACACAUGCAAGUCGAACGGCAGCGGGGGCUUCGGCCUGCCGGCGAGUGGCGAACGGGUGAGUAAUGCAUCGGAACGUGCCCAGUCAUGGGGGAUAACUACGCGAAAGCGUAGCUAAUACCGCAUACGCCCUGAGGGGGAAAGCGGGGGGAUCGCAAGACCUCGCGUGAUUGGAGCGGCCGAUGUCGGAUUAGCUAGUUGGUGGGGUAAAGGCCUACCAAGGCGACGAUCCGUAGCGGGUCUGAGAGGAUGAUCCGCCACACUGGGACUGAGACACGGGCCCCAGACUCCUACGGGAGGCAGCAGUGGGGAAUUUUGGGACAAUGGGGGCAACCCUGAUCCAGCCAUGCCGCGUGACGUGAAGAAGGCCUUCGGGUU